GGAAUUGCAAUCAAACCUAACCAUGAGAAUUGGGCAGCCAAAAUUAGAAACAGAGGAGACCGCUGAAUCACAUUCCCUGCUUGUUCAUCUUCCUGGUUAUGCAGAGGAUGAUAUAGGUGCUGAAUUUGAGUAUGAUUAUAGAAGAGUUAGGGUUUUUGGUAGACGAUCACUUGGAGAUAAUAGAUCAAUCCGCUUCAACAUUGCAUAUGCAGUUCCUAUGAAUUGUGACGUGAACAAGCUAAAGGGUGUGUUCCAAGGAGAAAUUUUUAGCAUUAUAAUGCCAAAGGUAACCAUACCAAGGAAAGUGCAAGGUCAAAUAAUGAAAACCUGUGAGGAGCCAAAAUCAAUAGUUGAGAGUCAAAUACAAGCUAAUGAGGCUUUAACUUCACCAAAAAGUGAUUCUGUUCCUCAAAAGGGUGAAGGAGUUUCACAAGAUGCCAAGAAUCAAAGAGAAGUGAGUUUUGAAAGCAGUGAAAAGAAAAGGGUUGAAAGGAAAGAAACAAAGGAUGAAAGUGAAAAUGAUUCUGUAUCAGGAAAACCACCCCAGAAAGGAAAAAAUGAAGGUGUCAUGGAUGAGACAAGUUCCAUCACAAGGAGUGGUAAACUUGGUGAUAUUGAAUGUAAAAUUGGUGAGAGAAAGGGCAAAGAAAAAGUGGAAAUGAAUAGUAAAAUUGGUGAUAUUGGAUCAUCAGAAAGGAUUGGGAUAAAGGAGGUGGCUGCUACUGCUUCACAAGCUGUGACAAGUUUGAUAAAAGGGUUCAAUGAAGA
rnacentral:sRNA from 1 species